rnacentral:tRNA from 1 species
CAGGGAGACAACACAAUGAUUUUGGUGCCUGAGUACUUUUAUUCUUAGGCCGAAAUCCUGUCACCUUAGGUCGAUCGGUACCUCAGCUUUGAAGUCAAGGAUCACCAGCAAUGUUGAUUGCUUGAUGGAGAUUUUCAGUUCCUAAACUUUGUCUAGGUCACACCCCAAAAGGGAUGAGACUCCUGGGCCAUUAGCUCAGGUGGUUAGAGCGCACCCCUGAUAAGGGUGAGGUCCCUGGUUCAAGUCCAGGAUGGCCCAUUCGGUGUUGGGGGUUUAGCUCAGUUGGUAGAGCGCCUGCUUUGCAAGCAGGAUGUCAGGAGUUCGAGUCUCCUAACCUCCACUGACCGAACUUGAUUCCCAUCUCCAAUUUUUUUGGAGUUGAGCUCGAUUGGAGGGUGAUUUAGAUGUGUCCGCUGGAUGACCCCAGCUUCCUGUCAUUCCAAGUUUUAGGUUGAAGCCUUGAAUUUGGUUGAUAAGAUGCUGGGCUCGGAUCAAAUGAUCAAGCAAUUGAUCAUCUGAUUUGAAGUUCUAGCAGAACCUUGACAACUGCAUAGGUGAGUCUGGAAAAAACAAAGCAUCUACAGAUGCAUUGUUUUGAAUCUGAUCUUCUGAAAAGGAGGUUGGAUCUAGAACAAUGAAAAUUCUUUUGAGCAAGAGCCGAGACUCUUGAACGUUCUUUAAGUCGUGUCGAGCGAAUUAAAGUUUGAUCUUGUUUUUAGCAAUAAAAACUUGAGAAUCUGCUUUCAACGGUGGUAAGCGUUCAGGAGGUUAAUU